rnacentral:rRNA from 1 species
CCUACGGGUGGCUGCAGUAAGGAAUAUUGGUCAAUGGACGAAAGUCUGAACCAGCCAUGCCGCGUGAAGGAUGAAGGUCCUCUGGAUUGUAAACUUCUUUUAUCUGGGACGAAAAAAGGGAAUUCUUUCUCACUUGACGGUACCAGAAGAAUAAGCACCGGCUAACUCCGUGCCAGCAGCCGCGGUAAUACGGAGGGUGCAGGAGUUACCCGGAUUAAAGGGGUUGUAGGGGUGCGUUUGAGUCCGGGUUGAAAUCUCCGGGCUUAACCCGGAAACUGCCAUUGAUACUAUCUGUCUUGAAUACUCUGGAGGUAAGCGGAAUAUGUCAUGUAGCGGUGAAAUGCUUAGAUAUGACAUAGAACACCGAUUGCGAAGGCAGCUUACUACGGAGUCAUUGACACUGAGGCACGAAAGCGUGGGGAUCAAACAGGAUUAGAUACCCGAGUAGUC